rnacentral:tRNA from 1 species
GCCUGGGUGGCUCAGUCGGUUGAGUGUCCGACUUCGGCUCGGGUCAUGAUCUCACGGUCUGUGAGUUCGAACCCCGCGUCGGGCU